rnacentral:rRNA from 1 species
UACGGAAGGCAGCAGUGGGGAAGUAUUGCACAAUGGGCGAAAGCCUGAUGCAGCUAUGCCGCGUGUAUGAAGAAGGCCUUAGGGUUGUAAAGUACUUUCAUCGGGGAGGAAAAACAAAACUAAUAAUUUUAUUUCUUGACGUUACCCGAAAAAGAAGCACCGGCUAACUCCGUGCCAGCAGCCGCGGUAAUACGGAGGGUGCUAGCGUUAAUCAGAAUUACUGGGCGUAAAGAGCACGUAGGUGGUUUUUUUAAGUCAGAUGUGAAAUCCCUGGGCUUAACCUGGAACUGCAUUUUGAAACUGAAAUACUAGAGUAUCGUAGAGGGAGGUAGAAUUCUAGGUGUAGCGGUGAAAUGCGUAGAUAUCUGGAGGAAUACCUGUGGCGAAAGCGGCCUCCUAAACGAAUACUGACACUGAGGUGCGAAAGCGUGGGGAGCAAACAGGGAUUAGAUA